UUCUGGCAAUCCGCGAUAAGUUCUUUGUAGAACUUUAAGAAAAGCAUUUUCCAUUAAAAGAAUGCUUUCAUGUGAUAAUGCCGGGGAAGGUUUUCCGGUUUAUCCCGGAGGGCUUGUAGCUCAGUUGGUUAGAGCGCGCGCUUGAUAAGCGUGAGGUCGGAGGUUCAAGUCCUCCCAGGCCCACCAAUUAUCCAUCCAUAGAAAAGCGCUUAGAAAGUUUGACUGUUAACAGGUCAACGUUGUUUUGUAGGACGCCAAUAUUGUCUUGAAAAAGAGCUUUCUUGUAAAGUUUGAGAAAACUUGUUUAUCGCUUUUUGUAAGAUGUGGUGUUUGUCUGCUUUUAAAGCGAUCGAAACUGAAAGUGUUUCAAAGAUAAGAGUCUUGGAACAGAAGAGUCUUGGAAUAGAAAAGAAUAUAAAGUCUAGGUGGUAUUACAUAGUCUAGAGUUAAAUUGUUCAUGAUUGGAACAUUUCAUAUUGAAAUGCUGCGAUAUAAAGGUUUCGAAUAAAUUAUUCCGUUUUGGGGCCGUAGCUCAGCUGGGAGAGCACCUGCUUUGCAAGCAGGGGGUCGUCGGUUCGAUCCCGUCCGGCUCCACCAUUUGGUCAUCAUCAUUGUUGUGAGAACAGGUUUUAGUGAAAGGUUGAGUAACCUUUCGCUUGUUCUAUUGAAAUUGU
rnacentral:tRNA from 1 species